AGAGUUUGAUCCUGGCUCAGGAUGAACGCUGACAGAAUGCUUAACACAUGCAAGUCGAUUCAAUUUACCUUCGGGUAUUGAGGAUGGCGGACGGGUGAGUAACGCGUAAGGAACUUGCCUCUUGGUCUGGGACAACUGUUGGAAACGACAGCUAAUACCGGAUAUUAUGAGAUUCUCGCAUGAGAAACUUAUGAAAGCUAUAUGCGCCAAGAGAGAGCCUUGCGUUCCAUUAGCUAGUUGGUGGGGUAACGGCCCACCAAGGCGACGAUGGAUAGCCGGCCUGAGAGGGUGAACGGCCACAAGGGGACUGAGACACGGCCCUUACUCCUACGGGAGGCAGCAGUGGGGAAUAUUGGACAAUGGGCCACAAGCCUGAUCCAGCAAUUCUGUGUGCACGAUGAAGGUCUUCGGAUUGUAAAGUGCUUUCAGUUGGGAAGAAGAAAGUGACGGUACCAACAGAAGAAGCGACGGCUAAAUACGUGCCAGCAGCCGCGGUAAUACGUAUGUCGCAAGCGUUAUCCGGAUUUAUUGGGCGUAAAGCGCGUCUAGGCGGAAAAAUAAGUCUGAUGUUAAAAUGCGGGGCUCAACUCCGUAUUGCGUUGGAAACUGUUUUUCUAGAGUACUGGAGAGGUGGGCGGAACUACAAGUGUAGAGGUGAAAUUCGUAGAUAUUUGUAGGAAUGCCGAUGGAGAAGUCAGCUCACUGGACAGAUACUGACGCUAAAGCGCGAAAGCGUGGGGAGCAAACAGGAUUAGAUACCCUGGUAGUCCACGCCGUAAACGAUGAUCACUAGGUGUUGGGGGUCGAACCUCAGCGCCCAAGCUAACGCGAUAAGUGAUCCGCCUGGGGAGUACGCACGCAAGUGUGAAACUCAAAGGAAUUGACGGG
rnacentral:rRNA from 1 species